UAGAACUCAGCAGCUUUGUUUACUCGCAAAGCUGUUUUAUAUCAAUCAUACGAGCGUGAACCAUUAAUAAAUUACUCAUCUCUAAUAGCAGUGUUGGUAAAUGUUACAAGCUUAUAACAAAUUUGUUAAUCGGUGAGUGUAAGUGUUGAUUGUUAUUUGUUUAAAGCGGACAAAUAGUUCGGCUUUGUUAAUUGUUGCUGCCAGCUGCUUAUACUUCAGUAGUGUCAAUAAAGUAUCCUUAAGUACAAUUGUGUUUGUUUUUGCUUGCUAAAUUCAAGAUAAUCGCGAAACAAACUGGUAGAAACCUUGCGUUAUGCUCAAGGUUAACAAUUAAGGGCAACAACUAAACGCAGACAAGGUAGAGGGAGAGAAAACCGUUUGAAUAUAUCAACAAAAAAGUGUCAUAUAUUAUAUCAUUGGACUGUUCCACAAGGCACUAUCAAUUGCAUUCCUAAGUAGCUCAUGCUCUUCAGAUAAGGAUUAGUCGCUGAUUAAACAAAGAAUUGGUACAUUCAAAUACGCAAACAUCAAGUAAUCGA